AGAGCUGGGCAAUAUAUCGAUAUUAUAUAGAUUUGGUGAUAUGAGACCAGAUAUCGUCUCAGAUUUAAGAUAUCGUGAUAUGACAUAUGUGUUGUCUUUUCUUGGUUUUAAAGGCUGCCUUAAAGUAAAGU